AUUGAACGCUGGCGGCAUGCCUUACACAUGCAAGUCGAACGGUAACGGGCCUUCGGGUGCCGGCGCGUGGCUGACGGGCGGGUAAUACAUCGGAACGUGCCCGAUCGUGGGGGAUAACGUGGCUAAAGCUUUCUUAAUACCGCAUACGAUCGACGGAUGUACUGAGUGGACGGGGUUGCCUUGCUCGGACGGAUCGGCCGAUGGCAGAGUAGGUAGUUGGUGGGGUAAAAGUUUACCAUGCCGACGAUCUGUAGCUGUUAUGAGAGGAUGAUCAGCCACACUGGGAGUGAGACACGGCACAGACUCCUACGGGAGGCACCAGUGGGGAAUUUUGGACAAUGGGCGCAAGCCUGAUCCAGCCAUGCCGAGUGCAGGAUGAAGGCCUUCGGGUUGUAAACUGCUUUUGUACGGAACGAAAAGCCUUCUUUUAAUACAGGAGGGUCAUGACGGUACCGGAAGAAUAAGCACCGGCUAACUACGUG
rnacentral:rRNA from 1 species